GUUUGAUCCUGGCUCAGAAUCAACGCUGGCGGCGCGCCUAACACAUGCAAGUCGAACGAGAAAGUGGAGCAAUCCAUGAGUAAAGUGGCGUACGGGUGAGUAACACGUGGAUUAUCUGCCCUUUUGUGGGGAAUACCGCUGGGAAACCGGCGACAAUACCGCAUAAGCUCGAGAGAGGAAAGCAGCAAUGCGCAGAAGGAGGAGUCCGCGGUCGAUUAGUUAGUUGGCAGGGUAAAGGCCUACCAAGACUGUGAUCGAUAGCCGGCCUGAGAGGGCACACGGCCACACUGGCACUGAAACACGGGCCAGACUCCUACGGGAGGCAGCAGUGGGGAAUCUUGCACAAUGGGGGAAACCCUGAUGCAGCGACGCCGCGUGAGCGAUGAAGCCCCUCGGGGUGUAAA
rnacentral:rRNA from 1 species